GACGACGAGGUAGAUAGGGCAGAGGUGGAAGUGCAGUAAUGCAUGGAGCUGACUGUUACUAAUAGGUCGAGGGCAUAACCAA
rnacentral:rRNA from 1 species